UUAUCAUCCGAUUAAAAAAUGAAAAACAAAAUAAAAUGGGGGUGAUACAGAAGAUUAGCAUGAUCCCUGCACAAGGAUAACAUGCAAAGUCAUGAAGCGUUCCAUAUUUUU